ACUUCAAUUCCAACUUCGACUUCAAGUCCAGUUCCAACUUCAAAAAUUUAAAUUUUCAUAGUCAAACACCCAUAAUAUGAAGACCAUCUAAGAUAAAAGGGGGGAAGUAUAUUACGAAUUUCUAAGAAAAACUUAUUUUCUUUUGAAUUUUUCACUUCUUUCCUCCUAUCAUGACUUUAAUCCUCUAACUAUUAAAAUUAAACAUUAUUUUUAAAAUGAAAGCUGAGAUUUGUUCGAUGAUUAUUACAAAAAUCUGGUUUCAAAUAAAUUACUACAAAAUUAUCAAGUAAUUAAGUCAAUCAUAUAUUUGAUAAAAAUCAAAAUGUCCAUUUGCUAAUCAUAUUUGGCAUUAUUUCUCUUCAACUAUGGGUCUUACCCAUGUCUCUUCCUCAAUCAAAUACUUGUUAUUGCAGUGGUGAAAAACUAAAGCAGUUAAUAGAGCCCAUAAACUGGUGUUGCAGGCUUUGCCAAUUAUCAUAUGUUGGAACUUGUGGAAGAGCACGUGUGCUGUUAAAUAUGGUGACAAACAACCUUAACUAGCCAAGCUUAUGUGGAGAAAUGUAGACAGGACACGAGAGUCACAGCAGUGUAUUGAUCUAAACCAUCAGCUCCAGUGGUCAAAUUGAAUUCUGAUGGUAGUGCACUUACUAAUCCUGAAAGGAUUGGUGCAGGGGGUUAUUAGAAGUCACAAGGGUGAGCUCAUCUGUACUUAUGCUACUCUCCUGGGGCAUGGAACUAAUAACUAAGCAAAGGUCGAAGCUGCUAUAUGGGGUUUAUCUUGGUGCCUGAACAAUGAAAUUCAGUAGAUUGUGGUGGAGGUAGACUCUGAACUCUUGAUCAGGUGGAUAAGGAGCCAAUUAUCAGUACCAUGGCAUCUGCAACCUCUUGUGAAUUCCUUACAGAAGCUCAUUUCACAGUUUCACCUGUGCAUAUGUAGACAUAUCUACAGAGAAGCUAACUUUGUAGCAGAUGCUUUGUCCAAAACCAGUCAUCAGUGUGACCAGCCACAAUAUUAUUUUCACAGCUAUCAGCUCCCAUUAGAUGCUGCAAGAUAUUUUAAGCUUGAUCAAUUAGGCAUGCCAAGCUUCAGGAGAAAAAAGUUGACUAAGAUUCAUGAACCACCCUAAUGCAUAGACAAAACAGGAAAGAAGGGUCAGGCAAGUCAUACUAGUUUUGCAUACUUGUAUAUUGCACAUUCACAUAUUUUAGUUCAUACUUUCAUA